AUGUCCCCAUCCCCAGCAGGCACCAGAGGCAGUCAAGGGCACGGUGAUUCCAGCUCCUGGUUGCCUUUGGGAUGCCACCAUCACACGGUGUCCCCAGGGCUGUCCCCACCUGCAGCACCCCCGGGGGAAAGCGCUGCUCCCUUCCCAGCCCCGAGCGCCGAGCUGGCCGCCUCGCAACUCGGCGAAAGGGGAAGCUGCAGCUUGCUCGGUGGCCUUGAUUCACGGAGGGAAAACAGAAACCUUGCCCAACUGCACGAGUCCAAAGCCAGAGCCUUCAGCCCCAGCAGGGGCUCCCCGUGGCUCCCUGCAGCCCUUUGGGGACGUCCCCAUUGGGGUGGAAGAGCAGCGGGCGCAAAGGGCAGCACCCAUCCAUCUCCCCACAUGCCCUCAAGCCGAGCCCAUCACGACCAGGAUGCUGUUGGCAAACAGAUUUUGCUGCGCUGCCACCCGGACAGCAUCCCACGCGCAGCCAGACCCGCUGCUGGGGGCUUUUUGGGGAGAAACAACCCGGGGAGAAACCCCUUAACAAGGUCUGGAGAUGGGCACGCGGCGAGGGGAGCGCACACGGGGCAUCCCCUCCUUGGCACAGCCCGGAGCCUUUGCACCACAGGGAUAAAAUUGCUCAGGGGGACGCAGGGACCAGCCACCCCCUCUGUCCCCAGCCGUGGGGACAGCUCCUCUUCCACAUCAGGGGUCCAUCAGGACACACGUACCCAAAUCCCUGGCAGAUUGGUGACCCCACAGCGGCUCCGUGGGACCCCACAGCCCCUUCCCACCUUCCAGCAUCACCCGCUUUUGGUUGGACCCCUCUACCCAGGGGCUCAAACAGGGGCUGUGGCCCUGCUGGAUGUGUCCCACCCCCAUCAGAGCAUCGCCACCCCACCUUGGGGACCCCCCUACACGCCACGGGGACACCCCAAGGACCACGAUGGGUCCUCCCCAUCAGAUUCGCAUCCCAAGGAGCCGGCAGCAGCGGCUGCGGGGGCAGAGGUGCCACGGGGCUUGGCGGCCGUGCCAACACGGCUGGCACUGAGUCACGGCUGGCAAGCGCCUCCGAGGGGCUUGCACAAGAGGGGAGGGGCUGGCACGCAGGGUGGCAAGCACCCGUGGGAGCAGGACAGCCACAGGGGCCGGCCCCGGUCCCCCGGCAUCGCAGAAAAGACCGGUUUUGGGAAGCCGCCCCUGUCCUCGGGUCCUCCCCGCAGACGAGGCGGGGAACCCUCCCCAGCCAGCGGAGCAGCCCAGGGGGGGGAAAAAAAUCCGCCACCCCAGCCAGCACAACGCCCACCCGUCCCGGAGCAUCCCUCCCCGGCAGGCACCCAUGGGGGAAAGCGAGGCACCACGGAGCGGCGGAGGAUGGAAAAGUGCAGCAGCAGGGGAAAAAAAAAUUAA
rnacentral:lncRNA from 1 species